rnacentral:rRNA from 1 species
UACGGAGGGGGCUAGCGUUGUUCGGAAUUACUGGGCGUAAAGCGCACGUAGGCGGCUUUGUAAGUUAGAGGUGAAAGCCCGGGGCUCAACUCCGGAAUUGCCUUUAAGACUGCAUCGCUAGAAUUGUGGAGAGGUAAGUGGAAUUCCGAGUGUAGAGGUGAAAUUCGUAGAUAUUGGGAAGAACACCGGUGGCGAAGGCGGCUCACUGGCCCGUAACUGACGCUCAGGCACGACAGCGUGGGGAUCAAACAGG